CAACGCGAAGAACCUUACCAGGCCUUGACAUGCAGAGAACUUUCCAGAGAUGGAUUGGUGCCUUCGGGAACUCUGACACAGGUGCUGCAUGGCUGUCGUCAGCUCGUGUCGUGAGAUGUUGGGUUAAGUCCCGUAACGAGCGCAACCCUUGUCCUUAGUUACCAGCACGUUAUGGUGGGCACUCUAAGGAGACUGCCGGUGACAAACCGGAGGAAGGUGGGGGAUGACGUCAAGUCAUCAUGGCCCUUACGGCCUGGGCUACACACGUGCUACAAUGGUCGGUACAAAGGGUUGCCAAGCCGCGAAGUGGAGCUAAUCCCAUAAAACCGAUCGUAGUCCGGAUCGCAGUCUGCAACUCGACUGCGUGAAGUCGGAAUCGCUAGUAAUCGUGAAUCAGAAUGUCACGGUGAAUACGUUCCCGGGCCUU
rnacentral:rRNA from 1 species